rnacentral:Y_RNA from 1 species
GGCUGGUCCAAUGGUAGUGGGUUAUCAGAACUUAUUCACAUUAGUGUUGCAAAAGUUGGUAUACAACCAUCCACUGCUAAACUUGAUGACAUUAA